rnacentral:rRNA from 1 species
GUCGGGAAUCUUGCGCAAUGGGCGAAAGCCUGACGCAGCGACGCCGCGUGGGUGACGAAGUCCUUCGGGAUGUAAAGCCCUGUUGAGAGAGACGACACGCCCCAUGAUGAAUGGGGUCGACGGUAUCUCUCGAGGAAGCCACGGCUAACUCCGUGCCAGCAGCCGCGGUAAUACGGGGGUGGCAAGCGUUGUCCGGAUUUACUGGGCGUAAAGGGCAUGUAGGCGUUUCGCUAAGCCCUAUCUGAAAUCCUUCGGCUUAACCGGAGGGCUGGAUAGGGGACUAUCGGAAUUGAGGCGAGAAGAGGAGAGUGGAAUUCCCGGUGUAGCGGUGAAAUGUGUAGAUAUCGGGAGGAACACCAGUGGCGAAGGCGGCUCUCUGGUCUCGUCCUGACGCUAAUAUGCGAAAGCUGGGGGAGCAAACAGGAUUAGAAACCCCAGUAGUCC